rnacentral:rRNA from 1 species
GACGAACCGUGCAAACGUUAUUCGGAAUCACUGGGCUUAAAGGACGCGUAGGCGGGCCGCCAGGUCCGGGGUGAAAGCCUCCAGCUCAACUGGAGAAGUGCCUUGGAUACCGGCGGCCUCGAGGGAGGCAGGGGCGUGCGGAACUUCGGGUGGAGCGGUGAAAUGCGUAGAUAUCCGAAGGAACACCGGUGGCGAAAGCGGCGCGCUGGACCUCUUCUGACGCUGAGGCGCGAAAGCCAGGGGAGCAAACGGG